AGGUUUCUAAACAAAUAAUAAGUUGGGUGGCAAAAAAAUCUAUUUUCCCUUCUUUUAUCUAAUUAUCUAAUUGUUGAGUUCUAUAUGUUUCACCUUGUUUUUCUUUAUAAUUCAUUCGUUCGGUUGAGGGUAUAAUUCAAACAUAAAAGCUGGUCUUAAUCUUUUUAAAUCAAGAUUUAACCAAAAAACACAAGAAAAUCAAAAUAAAAUCAAAUAAAUUCAUGUAUAACCAAAUGGCAUAAAAUUGGAGUUCCAUUGAUGCAAAUGAUUUUCUCAAAUAUAAUAAUAAUAAUAAGCUUGCGCCGUUGGGUGAAAACAAAUCACCCAACAAUAGAAUAAAGAAUGACGUCAGCAGUAUCCAUGCUCACGCCAGCCUUGGACCCGCCCUGCUUGACCCGACCCGAACCCCCGCCGCCGUGAAGGUGGGUGUCAUGGUGGUGGUGAUUCUCCGCCGGUGGGUGGUAGUACAUACGCGCCGUCUGGGGGCAGUGAGAGUAGGUUCUUGCCACGAUUCGAACACCUGCAUCAAGCAACUCCAUGUACUUGGCCAUAUCUCUGUCUGAAAAUAUAUAUAUCUGUGUCUGAAUUUUUUGUGUGUUUUUUGUUUCUCUCUCUAGAAUACAGCUUUGAAAGAAGAGAGAGAAAGAGCUUAGAAAACUAGGAAAGCUCCCAAACGUCAGAGCCCAUGAAAUGGGAAGAGAUGCCUUUGCUUGAGAGGAAAUUGGAGGAGGCUGUUUGCGUGUAUUUAUAUUGCUAGGUUUUGCGUUAAGAUGAUAUUUUUGGGUAUUUGCUCAUCGGUCCUUCUACUUUUAGAGUUUUAUAUUAGGCACCUCUAUAUUUCUUUUCAGGAAUAUGUCAAUGAGCAGCUAAGAUUUUGUGGAAAAGGUGCAAUUUGAGCAUAUACUAUUAUUAUUAUAUUAUUAUUCUAGUAUUUUAGGAUUUGAAUAUA
rnacentral:lncRNA from 1 species